rnacentral:rRNA from 1 species
UACGUAGGGACCAAGCGUUGUUCGGAUUUACUGGGCGUAAAGGGCGCGUAGGCGGCAUGACAAGUCACUUGUGAAAUCUCUGGGCUUAACCCUGAACGGCCAAGUGAUACUGUCGCGCUAGAGUGCGGAAGGGGCAAUCGGAAUUCUCGGUGUAGCGGUGAAAUGCGUAGAUAUCGAGAGGAACACCUGAGGUGAAGACGGGUUGCUGGGCCGACACUGACGCUGAGUGCGCGAAAGCCAGGGGAGCAAACGGG